AAUAGAUACCCCGGUAGUCCACGCCGUAAACGAUGGGUACUAGGCGUCUGGGGGAGCGACCCCCUGGGUGCCGGCGCUAACGCAUGAAGUACCCCGCCUGGGGAGUACGGCCGCAAGGCUGAGACUCAAAGGAAUUGACGGGGGCCCGCACAAGCGGUGGAGCAUGUGGUUUAAUUCGACGCAACGCGAAGAACCUUACCUGGGCUUGACAUGCUGGAGAAAGCUCCCAGAAACGGGAGCCCCUCUUCGGAGUUCCAGCACAGAUGCUGCAUGGCUGUCGUCAGCUCGUGUCGUGAGAUGUUGGGUUAAGUCCCGCAACGAGCGCAACCCUCAUCCCUAGUUACCAGCGGGUAAAGCCGGGAACUCUAGGGGGACUGCCGGUGCCAAAUCGGACGAAGGUGGGGACGACGUCAAGUCAUCAUGGCUCUUACCGUCCAGGGCUACACACGUGCUACAAUGGGUCAGACAAAGGGCAGCCAACCCGCGAGGGGGAGCCAAUCCCAUAAACUGAUCCUCAGUUCGGAUUGCAGUCUGCAACUCGA
rnacentral:rRNA from 1 species